rnacentral:rRNA from 1 species
UACGAGGGGUGCAAGCGUUGUUCGGAAUCACUGGGCGUAAAGGGAGCGUAGGUGGAAUUGCAAGUGGACCGUGCAAACCCGGGGCCCAACCCCGGACUCGCGGUCCAGACUGCAGUUCUUGAGUUGUUCAGAGGUAGACGGAAUUCCUGGUGUAGCGGUGGAAUGCGUAGAGAUCAGGAAGAACACCGAUGGCGAAGGCAGUCUACUGGGGACCAACUGACACUGAGGCUCGAAAGCGUGGGUAGCAAACAGG